rnacentral:rRNA from 1 species
GAUGAACGCUGGCGGCGUGCCUAAUACAUGCAAGUCGAGCGAACAGAUAAGGAGCUUGCUCCUUUGACGUCAGCGGCGGACGGGUGAGUAACACGUGGGUAACCUACCUAUAAGACUGGAAUAACUCCGGGAAACCGGGGCUAAUGCCGGAUAACAUUUAGAACCGCAUGGUUCUAAAGUGAAAGAUGGUUUUGCUAUCACUUAUAGAUGGACCCGCGCCGUAUUAGCUAGUUGGUAAGGUAACGGCUUACCAAGGCAACGAUACGUAGCCGACCUGAGAGGGUGAUCGGCCACACUGGAACUGAGACACGGUCCAGACUCCUACGGGAGGCAGCAGUAGGGAAUCUUCCGCAAUGGGCGAAAGCCUGACGGAGCAACGCCGCGUGAGUGAUGAAGGUCUUCGGAUCGUAAAACUCUGUUAUUAGGGAAGAACAAAUGUGUAAGUAACUGUGCACGUCUUGACGGUACCUAAUCAGAAAGCCACGGCUAACUACGUG